CAUACCUAGAAAUAACCCUAUCAUUCUAAUAUGUUUCCUUUAUCUUUUUUUUCGAUUCAGGUUAAAGGUAUUUUGUGUGUGUAAAUUUAAGAUUACUCUAUAUUUAGAAUUCUAAAUCAUUUAUUAACUAACAUUGUAUAUGAGUAUUUUUCCUGUAUAGUUUUCCUUAAAUAGUUUUCAAAAGUUAGGGUGCCUGGGUGGCUCAGUUAAGAAUCUGCCUUUGGCUCAGGUCAUGAUCUCAGGGUCCUGGGAUAGAGCCCCCAUAGUGGGCUUUCUGCUUAGAAGGGAGUCUGCUUCUCCCUCUCCCUCUGCCCUUCCACCCCACUUGUGUCCACACUCUCUAACUCAAAUAAAUAAACAAAACCUUUAAAAAAUAUAUUCUUCAAAAACAUCAUUUUAAUUUUAAUAGAAAAUAAAUGUACCAUAACUUAUUUUAUGUUCAUUAUUUUGUUUAUAAUGAUAGCUUCAAAGUAAAACAUAUAUCAAAACGUAUCAAAUAUUAUAGAUUUUAAAUAUUCACAGUUACUGAAUGUCAACCAUGCCUCAUAAAGCUGAUAAAAAUAAUUUUUAAACAAUCUCUCAUUGCAUAGGACACCUGGCUGGCUGAGUUGGUAGAGCAUGAGACUCUUGAUCUCAGUUCUCACCCCACAUUGGUUGUAAAGAUUACUUUAAAAAAAUAAAAAAAUAAAACGUUUUUUAAAAAAAUUCUCAGGGCACCUGGGUGGCUCAGUCGGUUAAUCUUAUUCCUGAUUUUGUUCAGGUCAUGAUCUCAGGGUCAUGAGACCAGCCCCAUAUCAGGCUCCGCACUCAGUAGAAUCUGCUUGAGAUUCUCUUUCCCCUUCUCCCUCUGCCCCUUCCCCCACUCACACUCACUCUCUAAAUAAAGAAAUAAAUACUUUUUAAAAAUUACUACAUAAUUUAAAAAAUUAUUACAUAGUAGGUUGGUUCCAUGUUUAGCUAAAAUAAUGUGGUAAAAAAUACAAUUCUCCACUUCAUUUCAAAAGGAAUAUAACUUUGUACACUUAUGGCUUAAUUAUAGAUUUAAUAAACACAUUUUGAUUCUUCCACAGUUCAGAAAUUCUUCUGAAACUUAUUUUACUAAAAUAUCUACUAUGCCACUUAAGUUUAGAACUAAAAAAUAUUUGGGGGUUAAACCAGGCAAAUAUUCAUUGCUAUCACGAUGGCUCACAUUAACUGAAGACUUUCCAUGAGCUAGACAAUGUGUAAGCAUUGUAUAUUACACAACAAUUAUCUUCUCGUUUCCUUCAAUAAAAUUAGGCAAAACAAAGUAAAAAAUGUGAUAAUACUAAGUAAUGAAGUCAGGAGGAAGCUUACCUACAGAAUUCAAAGUCCUUGGAAAUGUUUAGCAUUAUUCCCUAGAUUUCAAGAAGCAAAAUCUCCAGAAAGGCCAGUAAGUAUGAACUAUGUAUUCAUACAAUGAAAUACAACAAAAAGAACUACUGAUACCUGUAAUGAAACCAUGAAUGAUGAACAUCCAAAACACAAUGGUGAGUGAAGAAAGUCAAACACAAAUGAGUAUAUGUUGCAUGAUUCAAUUUAUAUGGAGCCCAAGAAAAGACAAAACUAAUCUAUACCUUUCAGAGUCAGAAAGUGGUUGAUCCCGUAGUGAGGAUGGGGAGAGAAUCAAUUUAAAAAGGUAUGAAGGGGUGCCUGGGUCUCAGUUGUUUAAGUGCCAACUCUCCAUUUCAGCUCAGGUCAUGAUCUCAGGAUCAUGGGAUCCAGCCCUGCGUAGGACUCCAUACUCAGCACAGUCUGCUUGGAAUUUUCUUUCUCCUUCUCCCUCUGGACCUCCCACAAUAAAUAAACAAACAAACAAACAAACUUUUUAAGGGGAUGGGAGCAUGAGGGAACUUCCAGGAAGUGACUACACAGGUGUAUACAGUUGUCAGAACACACAGUAAACAUAUAAAACCAUGUAUUUUAUGAUACAUUACUUAUCCUUAUUAAAGUAAAAUGAAAUAAAAUAAAUCUCUGGGAAUCUAAGGAUUAGCUCUAAAAUCAUUCCAAUCCAAUGCUCAUAUCUUUUGCAUAGCAUGACCCUAUGACAUUUAAUGAAUCCUACUGGAUACAAGGACAACCACCAUCACAUGGUGGCAUAUAACUAAUGAUGAUGCUGAAGAGAAAGAAUUUCCUUUUCACAAUCAAAAAAUAAAAUUAAAUGAGAAAACCCAUUUCAUAUUUAAAUACUCUACUUUUAAAUAAACUAAUAAGAUCAAUAAAAUCCAAUAUAAGGUCAGAAGUAAAAAUGAACAUAAGGUCAAAGAAUCACAGACAGAACCUUCUAAUAUCCCUCUAAAAUCAGCCUAUCGGGGGAUCCCUGGGUGGCUCAGCAGUUUAGUACCUGCCUUUGGCUCAGAGCAUGAUCCAGGAGUCCCAGGAUCGAGUCCCACAUCAGGCUCCCUGCAUAUAUCCUGCUUUUCCCUCUGCCUGUGUCUCUGCCUCUCUCUCUCUCUCUAUCUCUACGUCUUAAAUGAAUAAUAAAUAAAUAAAUAAAUAAAUAAAUAAAUAAAUAAAAACAAACAAACAAACAAACAAAUAAAGUUAGCCUAUCAUGGGGUGCCUGGGUGGUUUGGUCAGUUAAGUGUUCAACUCUUGAUUUUAGCUCAGGUCAUGAGCUCAGGGUUGUGAGAUCGGGCCCUGAGUCAGGCUCUGUGCUCAGCAGGGAGUCUGCUUGAGAUUCUCUCUCUCUCCAUCUCCCUCUGUCCCUCCCAUUGCUAUCUCUCUCUCUCUCUUUCCUCUCUCCCUCUCUCCUGUGAAUGGAUAAAAUCAUUAAUUAAUAAUUAAUUAAAAUUAAAUUAGCCUAUCCUGGUCUACUUUGAAGCAACAUAUUGUGGAGCUAGUUUUCAUAUUCAAAUUGUUUUUCUUCCAUAAACACAGCCGAAGCUGACUCCCUAUAAAUUCCACCCAUUGCAUCUUGUUCUGCCCUAGUUAGCAACCCUCUCUUCCAUGACAGCCCUAGGGAUAUGUGCCAAGAGCAAGCAAAUUUCCUUUAAGUUCCUGUUAUAAUUAGACUACACAAUUCCCUCAACUCUUCCUCAUUAUAGCACAUCUUUUAAGUUACUUUACCUUGCUAUUUUUAAAGUAUAGUUUCAUUCAUCCAUCCCUCUAUUCAUCCAUACUUCUAUGUGACAUUUAAAACAAAAAGAAAAGGAGCCCUGUUGGUGAUGAUCACAGCCAAUGUAUUCCCCAAAGUGUAAUAUGAAGGAUGAAGACAGAAUCAGCCAGGAUUCUCCCAUUGACUACCAAGAGAGGUGGUAGAUACAACUCAACACAUAAAGCAGACAGUGGGAGAGAGAUUUCAGAAGCAUGACUCUGGUGGUCUCACUGGAAGCUUCCUCAGCAAAGCCAGGCUUCCAAAGCCUUCCCCUCCUGACCUCUUCUUUGAGUAAUGCAGCACUCUGCAGAACAAUCUGAUGGUCCCAGGGCUUGUGUGGGAGAACACCUGUGAGACUAUCCAGCUUCUAAGAAACAGUUGACCAAUAUGGGUUAUACGUGGAGAGAAAAACUUAACCAAUUCAAAUAUAAAAUGUGCCUCUUCCAUAAAAAGGACAUUAUCAGUCCUUGAAUAAGAAAUGUAUCAUAUGCGGGAUCCCUGGGUGGCGCAGCGGUUUGGCGCCUGCCUUUGGCCCGGGGCGUGAUCCUGGAGACCCAGGAUCAAAUCCCACGUCAGGCUCCCAGUGCAUGGAGCCUGCUUCUCCCUCUGCCUAUGUCUCUGCCUCUCUCUCUCUCUCUAUCAUAAAUAAAUAAAAAUUUAAAAAAAAAAAAAAAAAAAAA
rnacentral:lncRNA from 1 species